AGUUAGAGUAAAGUUGCUAGGAAGGUCCCCAGUUCACCGGUCACCUGCUCAGUAAAUAGAGGAGAUAAUAGUUGCUUUCCAUUUGCACUCAAGUGAUACUGAGUCACUCAAUUAUAGUGUCAAGACUUCGCAAUAGUUGUUCGUCCUUGGAACACCACUGCACUAACUCUUCGAUGGUCACCACGCCGUCCUUAUUUGCGUCCAUCAACUAAAAAUAUGCUUCAGAGAUUUUUAUGCUCAUCAUACAUAGAGAUGUCAUACUAAUACUUACAUGGAAAAUGCGAUCGACGUGUUCGCGAGCGGCCGCGUGCGGUUCGAGGAUUUGUGGCUGCGUGUAACGACCCAACAUCUCGUAGAUGGAUCCCACGACGUCCAGCAUCUCUUCUUUACUUAUCAAACCAUCGCCGUCCAGAUCAUACAGCCCGAAGACCCAUUGUAAUUUCUCUUCCACCGAUCCUCUCGACACCUUCGACAGUAUGGAAUUCUGAAAAUACGAUAUUGCUGCAGAGAGAUAGAUAUACUGAUUAGCCGAAGGAGAUAAAAGAGAAGCGGACAAAUUUAACGAAUUUCGAAAGCCAGGAUAUUUAAACGUCAAAAAAAUCCCAAAAUCUGAAAGAUUAGAGAAAGUGUGGUAUUCAAGCAUAUCACCCGAGAAGACAUCCAAAGACUCGUACCAAGUCGAAAGAUAUGACCUUUGACACAUUAACAGUCCUGGUGCGACAAGGGUUGGACUCAGACCUACGCAAAAAUUACCAUUCACAGAACACACGGGAUUACUAUGUACAUACGGACAAGACAGACAGACAAACAGAUAAACAGAUCAGGCAACCCGUGUCCGUAAGGCGAAAGGGGAAGAGGGGUAAAAAUAUAAGAAGAGAAGAGAGGACCCAUCACUGA